CUCUGUGCUCAGCAAAGAGCCUGACGCGGGGUUCUAUCCCACGUCCCUGGGAUUGUGACCUUAGCCAAAAUCAAGAGUCGGGCACUCAACCAACUGAGCCACCCUGGCGCCCCCAGAGGAUUUAUUAAACCUACACAUUCGCUCAGCCUAGACACAGAAUCAAGAUCCAGAAUCUGUGCAUUUGACGUCUCCCUGAGUGAUUCCAGUAGGUCUGACAACCGCUGGCUUAGAUGACAUUUUAGAUCCUUCUUGACCUUGAGGCUGUGACACACACAUCUGCAAUCACACCUAGGUGAGGCUGUCUCCCUCACGUCACUGAACCAGGAUGGGAAUCCAUUCUGCACCUGUUAUCUAGGUGUUGGGAUGAGAAAGUAGCAUGGGGGUGGGGGGGGACAAAUUCCCACGUUUGACAUCUAUCCCAUAACACUAAUCGUAGGACAGUGUGAGGCGAUCAUUAUAGCUGAGAAUUGGUUUCCUCUGGUGAGAAAUGAACAUCAGGGUGGCGAUUACCUGACCGCCCACACGCAGACCCCCCACACAGCCCAAAUUAAAGUAUGUGGAUGUACUCACCCAGUGUCCACGGCUACAGAGAUGUUUUCAUCCUGAUUUGAACGCUGGCACCGUAGGGGUUAAAAAUGUACGUGACAACAAGGGACGUGCGGGGAGGUUUUUUUUAAUAGACGUGAACAUAAGUGGAACAGCACAGAAGUAUUCGUGCUUAUGUGUGUGGAAAAAAAGAAACACGGUAAAAUUUUAACUUUUUAUGCGUAUUUUUAAUUAUUAAAAGACACUGCAUUAGCAAUUCCAUUUGUUCAGAACGUCGCAGCAAGCCUGCAAGGUCUUGGGACGGAUGUAGGCGAGAGAAUGCUGUCCUAAAUAUCUGACUGGGUGGUGGUCGUUUGGGCUGUGAAGUAUGAUCCCUGUGUUCAUGACAGCGCAAUGCCUGUGACGAAUUUGGUACGUUACUGCGAAUUUUUAAACUGUUUUCUAUAUGUGGGAGAGGACACGUGCUCCUCUCCCCUGCCCCAAACUACGAAACCGCCUUUCCAGUCCUUUCCGUCCCCAAGACUCACGAGCGUCUCAUUGCCGAUCCCCUCCCCUUUCCCUCUUUCUCCAGCCCGCACCCCCCACCCCCGGCCCAUCACAUGCCUUUUCCGACUCGGGGGCUUGUCACCCGGACCUCAGGGUUGUCCCCAACUCCCUCCUUUUUCACUUUGCAUGUCCUUCCGGUUUGCAUGUCCUUCCGGUUUGCAUGUCCUUCCGGUUUGCAUGUCCUUCCGGUUUCCUGACGCUGGCAGUCCUCUGUCACAGUGCCCUCCUGGGGUCUUGUUGCACCGUCCCCCCCGAUGUCAAACCUGUCCGAUCUUCCUAAUGCACCACUGCAAUCAUGUCAUAGCGAUUUUCACCCUAAUGACACCCUCACAGUCAGUCCGCUUAGCCCAAUUCGUUUUGUUAGCUCAGUUUCCUAGUAUUUCACAGGCGAGUUCAAACAAAUCACUCCCUCUCCGUCUUACGAACUUGCCUCUGCUCCCCCACCUCCCCAGCUUUGCUCGAAUCUUCCCUCCACUGGGAAGACCCCCUCUCGUACCCACUCGGUGAAAUCCUAACCAUUUCCCUAGACAUCCGUGCUGUUGGCUGGUUUUGAUUUUCCUCUACUGAGCACCAGAAUGUCACCUUCCACCCCUGUGAUGUCAGGCACGGCCACAUGACUUGUUCCGGGUAACGAGACGGUGCGGAAGCAGGGUGUUGCUUCCGGGUGGAAGUGUUUAAGAGCCGGUGAGUGACCGGCCAGCUCUGUCUUCCUUGGCUGCAGUGCCCGUGCAGGAGCGGGGGAGCCGAGGCAAGGAGCAGCCCAGUCUCAGCCGCGACCAGCCCUGCAGGGCCAUCGGGCCCCACGGUGCAACAGCGUCGGGAUCCUGGCUCCUUCUCGUUCUUCCCCGUCUCUUCCCUUCCCAGGCCACUGCCGCGCUUGUUUGCAGGAAAUAGAAGACUCAACUGUGACCAGCUAAUGAAAAGAAAAUGAAAAAUCACUCUCACUGCGAGAUAAAAAUUGGCUUCUGAGGUUCGACCUGCUAUGGGACUCUGACACAAUAUUAAUGAUGAUGCAUUAUUUUUCAAUAACAAAUUCUGCCCCGAGCCUCAGUAAUACUGUCGUAUUCUCUUCUGUUUCCAGUUUCUAUUUGAAGAGAGGGCAGCAUCCCUUAACUUUUAUAUCUUCUUCCUCACCUCCUGGAUGUCUGCCAAUAUUGGAUAUUGAUCACACACCGUAACAUCACUACCCCUACCAGGGUUUAUGGCGUUUAAAAAUUCUUACCAGACCUUCUUGUAAAAAUUUCACAGGGAGCUCACGAAAUAUUAAGCCACAUGAAACAGCACUUCUUUUUGUCAAAACAUUUCAUUGUAACUUCUGUUUCAGGAAAGCACCCCAACCACCAAAUUCUCCUUAAUGUUAGUUUCCUUGAAAAAUGACUUUCUGGUGUGCUUCUGGAUGUUUUCUUGCAAGCCCCACCCCCGGAAGAUGGGUGCUUGGAUGGGCGUUUUGGUUUAUUGGUGAAGAGUUGAGCUUCCUGUUCAGUCUGUGACCAAUUUGCCCCCCGUACCUGUUUACAUUUAUGAUGGUCACGGCUUAAACAAUAGAACAUGAUGUAAAGAAUAUUUGUUAGCCAAGCAGAGUGGCUUCAUAGGCUGUCUGGCCGUAACAGAUGAGACGUGUCUGAUGGGGGCGGGCUGGAGUGACUUACACACCUGCCCUGACUUGAGGUCCUGUACAAACGUCGCGAACUUUCCGAAGGCCUCAUUGCCGGUGGAGCAAGUUCCGAGGGGCGGGCAGUCCUCCUGUUACCGCUUCUGUGGCUCCACUCGGGCCGGCCGCCUGGUUAUGUCCUGCACCCUCCCGACAGUGUCCUCCCCCGUAACAUGGGGCUGUCAGCCCCUGCUGGCUAACGAUAGUGUGAGAACAAGCAGAAUGUCAGCAUUUGGCAGCCGCCGAGGCUUUGUUUUCUGCCCCCUCUUCUGGCCCCACGCACCUUCCCACCUCGCGCCAAG